rnacentral:rRNA from 1 species
UACGGGGGGAGCAAGCGUUGUUCGGAUUUACUGGGCGUAAAGGGCGCGUAGGCGGCCACCGCAAGUCAAUUGUGAAAUCUCCGGGCUUAACUCGGAAAGGUCAACUGAUACUGCGGGGCUAGAGUGCGGAAGGGGCAACUGGAAUUCUCGGUGUAGCGGUGAAAUGCGUAGAUAUCGAGAGGAACACCUGCGGCGAAGGCGGGUUGCGGGGCCGACACUGACGCUGAUGCGCGAAAGCCAGGGGAGCGAACGGG